rnacentral:lncRNA from 1 species
AUCCACACAAACAAUACAGGCUAUCCUGAUGAGGGUCCCACAAACGGCCCUAUCUCAUCAACCAUCUUCGCGAACUCUGCGGCGAACCUGAGCUCGGUGUUCUCCUGCUGUAAUCUCCCCACCUCUUUUUGAUGAAUCUUCAUUUGCCUGAAGUAAUGAUCUCUCUCAGCCAUGUAAUGAUCUCUCUCGGCGAUGAUCUUCACAUUCUCCGCCUCCUUAAUCUUCAGCUUGGCCUCCCACUCAGCAAUGAGAACUCGGACCCUGUCAUCCCUCUGAUCCCUCACGAGAAUUUGCCUCCUCUUCUGAUCUUCAAUGACCUUUGAAGCUCUAGCCAAUCUCUCUUUGGUGAUGUCGUGCUCCUUUGUCGAUGAUGCUAAAGCUUG